rnacentral:rRNA from 1 species
UACAGAGGUCUCAAGCGUUGUUCGGAUUCAUUGGGCGUAAAGGGUGCGUAGGCGGCGCGGUAAGUCGGGUGUGAAAUCUCGGGGCUUAACUCCGAAACUGCAUUCGAUACUGCCGUGCUUGAGGACUGGAGAGGAGACUGAAAUUCAUGGUGUAGCAGUGAAAUGCGUAGAGAUCAUGAGGAAGACCAGUGGCGAAGGCGGGUCUCUGGACAGUUCCUGACACUGAGACACGAAGGCCAGGGGAGCAAACGGG